GGAUGCGAUCAUACCAGCACUAAAGCACCGGAUCCCAUCAGAACUCUGAAGUUAAGCGUGCUUGGGCGAGAGUAGUACUAGGAUGGGUGACCUCCUAGGAAGUCCUCGUGUUGCAUUCC
rnacentral:rRNA from 2 species